CAGCAGCCGCGGUAAUACGUAGGUCCCGAGCGUUGUCCGGAUUUAUUGGGCGUAAAGCGAGCGCAGGCGGUUUGAUAAGUCUGAAGUUAAAGGCUGUGGCUCAACCAUAGUUCGCUUUGGAAACUGUCAAACUUGAGUGCAGAAGGGGAGAGUGGAAUUCCAUGUGUAGCGGUGAAAUGCGUAGAUAUAUGGAGGAACACCGGUGGCGAAGGCGACUCUCUGGUCUGUAACUGACGCUGAGGAGCGAAAGCGUGGGGAGCGAGCAGGAUUAGAGACCCGCGUAGUCCCUGUCUCUUAUACA
rnacentral:rRNA from 1 species